GAUGGUAAUGUUACUGUCUACAAAGCUCGACUUGUUACAAAAGGUUUUCGACAAGUUCAAGGAGUUGACUACGAUGAGACUUUCUCACCUGUAGCGAUGCUUAAGUCUGUCCGAAUCAUGUUCGCAAUUGCCGCAUUUUAUGAUUAUGAAAUAUGGCAAAUCGAUGUCAAAACUGCAUUCCUGAAUGGAUUUCUAGAAGAAGAGUUGUAUAUGAUGCAACCAGAAGGUUUUGUCGAUCCAAAAGGUGCUAACAAAGUGUGCAAGCUCCAGCGAUCCAUUUAUGGACUGGUGCAAGCCUCUCGGAGUUGGAAUAAACAUUUUGAUAGUGUGAUCAAAGCAUAUGGUUUUAUACAGACUUUGGGAGAAGCCUGUAUUUACAAGAAAGUGAGUGGGAGCUCUGUAGCAUUUCUAAUAUUAUACGUAGAUGACAUAUUGUUGAUUGGAAAUGAUAUAGAAUUUCUGGAUAGCAUAAAA
rnacentral:rRNA from 1 species